AUGUGUUUCAAAAGGCAAAAUGUGUUUUAGUUAUUCAUAGUUUCCUCUCAGUGACCGAUGCAUUCUUAGCUGGAGAAAGGCUAUUUAAGUUUCAGAUGUAUUGGUUCAAUGUUCAGAACUUCUUAAAAGGAGGCGAAGUCAAAGGUAGCAUUCAAUUCAGUUCUACACAGAGAGCUAGCCUGUUAGGAAGGUUUUGCUGAUCUUGGAAGAAGGUUGGUCUCAGAGGACAAUAUCAAAAGAGAAGACUCUAGCGCAGUAAGUUUUUUUUGCCGUUGUUGUUGUUGUUGAUUUUACAUCGUUAACAACGUUAGUAGACUGGAAGAAAUAUUUUCCGUUUUAAAGACGCGGCUUUUUGUUUCAUUGAACAAUAAUGAGGCGGCCGGGCUUAAAAUGUCCCACCUGACUAAAUGGGAGUGAAACCAUUUACUAAGAAACACAACAUCCAAAACCCUUGUUGAAAACUUGUGAAUAGCUUUUCACUCUUGGAUUUUCUGUUUUUGAUAAAGCUCUUGCAAUUGACCAAUGAAAGGCGAGGAUUUUAUACCACCAAAUUUUCCAGGCGAGUCCGGCCAAAUCCCUAUGGCAGAUUAGAGAUCUUCUUUCAGUGUUCACGUACAUGCAGUUGUGAAAACUCAUUACCGUAUUUCAAUGAAGGAUGUGCAAUUUGAUGCUUUGUUUCGCUUACAGUUUUUCCACAUUCUCAUGGUAUACACGUGUUGCGCGAAUUCGUUUCGGUGUCGGAAGUGAGGUAAAAGAUAGGCUGAAAACUUCUCAUCGUGGUAAUGCAGCCAAGAUUUUAGAAAACUGUUUGUUGGACUUUGAAAAAAAAAA